rnacentral:rRNA from 1 species
UGGGGAAUCAUGGUCAAUGGGCGAAAGCCUGAACCUGCGACGCCGCGUGAGUGAUGAAGGUCGUAAGAUCGUAAAACUCUUUUCAGGGAUCUUAAAGCCUGUCUGUCAACAACAGGCAGGUCUGACUCUCCCUGGAAGAAGCCCCAGCCAACUACGUGCCAGCAGCCGCGGUAAUACGUAGGGGGCGAGCGUUAUUCGGAAUUACUGGGUGUAAAGGGGAUGUAGGCGGCCCGUCAAGUCGCGUGUCAAAGUCCAGGGCUCAACGCUGGG